rnacentral:rRNA from 1 species
UACGUAGGGUGCAAGCGUUGUCCGGAAUUAUUGGGCGUAAAGAGCUCGUAGGCGGUUUGUCGCGUCUGCUGUGAAAACUCGGGGCUUAACCCUGGGCCUGCAGUGGGUACGGGCAGACUAGAGGUAUGCAGGGGAGAACGGAAUUCCUGGUGUAGCGGUGAAAUGCGCAGAUAUCAGGAGGAACACCGGUGGCGAAGGCGGUUCUCUGGGCAUUACCUGACGCUGAGGAGCGAAAGUGUGGGGAGCGAACAGA